AAGCAAUUGCAAUCACUUAGAAGUAUCUACUGACAUUGAAACAGGAUGAUAGCAGAGAAGCAUUGAAACAUGUCGUUUUGUUUUUCUUUUGGAAAUGAGGAGCACGGGGCACCCACAUUGAUAUUGAUUUGACUCGUGGGUAGCUUGUGUAUGUUCCAGUGCUUCUGACAUUGGGUGGCUCUGUGGCUUUUGCCUUACUCUGUGGCAUUUUUUUAACUUAUUUUCUUUCCAUUUCCCUUCCAAACAGCAUUGAAACAUGUCGUACUCUGUGGCAUUUUUUUUUACUCUGUGGCUUUUGCUUAUGUUAUCCAAUUAUAAAUGCUUGUGAUUGACCCAGACUGGCCUGUAUGUUCGCACAUUAAGUUUUAACCUGUAUCAUUCCUGUCAUACCGACAAUUUCUUAUUGUAUGUGCACUUCUGGUGAAUUUUUUUAUAUGCUGAAAACAAUUGGGAACUGUUAGAUGUUAAUGACUGGGUGUUUGCAAGAGAGAUAGGUGGAUGGCUUAUCAAAUGCAUUUUCCUGCUGACUAAUUUAGCUGUGAGAGAUCCUGACUAGAAAGGAUUGCAUUUGUUUCCUGGUUGCAUGAUAGCAAGAUUACAGGAAAGAAAUGGGAACAAGGAAAACAAUAACCUGGGUGACAAAGGUAA
rnacentral:lncRNA from 1 species